rnacentral:rRNA from 1 species
UACGGAGGGUCCGAGCGUUAUCCGGAAUUAUUGGGUUUAAAGGGUCCGUAGGCGGGCAGCUAAGUCAGUGGUGAAAGUCUGCAGCUCAACUGUAGAAUUGCCAUUGAUACUGGUUGUCUUGAAUUAUUAUGAAGUGGUUAGAAUAUGUAGUGUAGCGGUGAAAUGCAUAGAUAUUACAUAGAAUACCAAUUGCGAAGGCAGAUCACUAAUAAUAUAUUGACGCUGAUGGACGAAAGCGUGGGGAGCGAACAGGAUUAGAUACCCUGGUAGUCCACGCCGUAAACGAUGGAUACUAGCUGUUCGAUCUUCGGAUUGAGUGGCUAAGCGAAAGUGAUAAGUAUCCCACCUGGGGAGUACGUUCGCAAGAAUGAAACUCAAAGGAAUUGACGGGGGCCCGCACAAGCGGUGGAGCAUGUGGUUUAAUUCGAUGAUACGCGAGGAACCUUACCAGGGCUUAAAUGUAGUUUGACAGGGGUGGAAACACCUUUUCCUUCGGGCAAAUUACAAGGUGCUGCAUGGUUGUCGUCAGCUCGUGCCGUGAGGUGUCAGGUUAAGUCCUAUAACGAGCGCAACCCCUGUUGUUAGUUGCCAGCGAGUCAUGUCGGGAACUCUAACAAGACUGCCAGUGCAAACUGUGAGGAAGGUGGGGAUGACGUCAAAUCAUCACGGCCCUUACGUCCUGGGCUACACCGUGCUACAAUGGUAGGUCAGAGAGCACCCCUAC